GUUAGCGGCGGACGGGUGAGUAACACGUAGGCAACCUGCCCGUAAGACCGGGAUAACUACCGGAAACGGUAGCUAAWACCGGAUAAUUUAUCGCUUCGCAUGGAGCGGUAAUGAAAGACGGAGCAAUCUGUCACUUACGGAUGGGCCUGCGGCGCAUUAGCUAGUUGGUGAGGUAACGGCUCACCAAGGCGACGAUGCGUAGCCGACCUGAGAGGGUGAACGGCCACACUGGGACUGAGACACGGCCCAGACUCCUACGGGAGGCAGCAGUAGGGAAUCUUCCGCAAUGGGCGAAAGCCUGACGGAGCAACGCCGCGUGAGUGAUGAAGGUUUUCGGAUCGUAAAGCUCUGUUGCCAGGGAAGAACM
rnacentral:rRNA from 1 species